rnacentral:rRNA from 1 species
UACGGAGGGUGCAAGCGUUGUCCGGAAUCACUGGGCGUAAAGGGCGCGUAGGCGGCCCGGUAAGUAGGGGGUGAAAUCCUGCGGCUUAACCGCAGGGCUGCCUUCUAAACUGUCGGGCUCGAGCACGGUAGAGGCAGAUGGAAUUCCCGGUGUAGCGGUGGAAUGCGUAGAGAUCGGGAAGAACAUCAGUGGCGAAGGCGGUCUGCUGGGCCGUUGCUGACGCUGAGGCGCGACAGCGUGGGGAGCAAACAGGG